UACGUAGGGGGCGAGCGUUGUCCGGAUUUAUUGGGCGUAAAGAGCGUGUAGGCGGCCUGGCAGGUCUGCUGUGAAAACUCGAGGCUCAACCUCGAGAUGUCGGCGGAAACCGUCUGGCUAGAGUACGGAAGAGGAGAGUGGAAUUCCUGGUGUAGCGGUGAAAUGCGCAGAUAUCAGGAAGAACACCUGUGGCGAAGGCAGCACUCUGGGACGGUACUGACGCUAAAACGCGAAAGCGUGGGGAGCGAACAGG
rnacentral:rRNA from 1 species